GAUCAUGGCUCAGGACGAACGCUGGCGGCGGGCUUAACACAUGCAAGUCGAGGGGCAGCAUAAUGGUAGUAAUACUAUUGAUGGCGACCGGCGGACGGGUGCGUAACGCGUAUGCAACCUACCCUUUACAGGGGGAUAACACUGAGAAAUCGGUACUAAUACCCCAUAAUAUUCUGGGAGGCAUCUUUCGGAGUUGAAAGCUUUGGUGGUAAAGGAUGGGCAUGCGUUGUAUUAGCUAGUUGGUAAGGUAACGG
rnacentral:rRNA from 1 species